CCUACGGGAGGCAGCAGUCGAGAAUCAUUCACAAUGGGGGAAACCCUGAUGGUGCGACACCGCGUGGGGGAAUGAAGGUCUUCGGAUUGUAAACCCCUGUCAUGUGGGAGCAAAUUAAAAAGAUAGUACCACGAGAGGAAGAGACGGCUAACUCUGUGCCAGCAGCCGCGGUAAUACAGAGGUCUCAAGCGUUGUUCGGAAUCACUGGGCGUAAAGCGUGCGUAGGCUGUUUCGUAAGUCGUGUGUGAAAGGUGCGGGCUCAACCCGCGGACGGCACAUGAUACUGCGAGACUAGAGUAAUGGAGGGGGAACCGGAAUUCUCGGUGUAGCAGUGAAAUGCGUAGAUAUCGAGAGGAACACUCGUGGCGAAGGCGGGUUCCUGGACAUUAACUGACGCUGAGGCACGAAGGCCAGGGGAGCGAAAGGGAUUAGAUACCCCGGUAGUC
rnacentral:rRNA from 1 species